rnacentral:rRNA from 1 species
GACGAACGCUGGCGGCGUGCUUAACACAUGCAAGUCGAACGGAAAGGCCCUGCUUUUGUGGGGUGCUCGAGUGGCGAACGGGUGAGUAACACGUGAGUAACCUGCCCUUGACUUUGGGAUAACUUCAGGAAACUGGGGCUAAUACCGGAUAGGAGCUCCUGCUGCAUGGUGGGGGUUGGAAAGUUUCGGCGGUUGGGGAUGGACGCGCGGCUUAUGAGCUUGUUGGUUGGGUAGGUGCUUACCAAGGCUGUGACGGGUAGCCGGCCUGAGAGGGUGACCGGCCACAUUGGGACUGCGAUACGGACCAGACUCCUACGGGAGGCAGCAGUGGGGAAUAUUGCACAAUGGGCGGAAGCCGGAUGCAGCAACGCCGCGUGCGGGAUGACGGCCUUCGGGUUGUAAACCGCUUUCGCCUGUGAUGAAGCGUGAGUGGCGGUAAUGGGUAAAGAAGCACCGGCUAACUACGUG